rnacentral:rRNA from 1 species
AGCAGCCGCGGUAAUUCCAGCUCCAAUAGCGUAUAUUAAAGUCGUUGCAGUUAAAAGCUCGUAGUUGAAUUUCGGGAUUGGCGUAUCGGUCGUGCCUCACGGGGUAUGAACUGGUGCAGUCAAUUUCUCACCUUCUGGAGAACCGCGAUGUCCUUAAUUGGAUGCCGUGGGGAACCAGGACCUUUACUUUGAAAAAUUGAGUGUUUAAAGCAGGCUAUUUUUGCUUGAAUACACUAGCAUGGAAUAAUAGAAUAGGACGACAUGGUUCUAUUUUGUUGGUUUCUAGGACCACCGUAAUGAUUAAUAGGGAUAGUUGGGGGCAUUAGUAUUCAAUUGUC